CGGCUAAAUCAUUCUUUCUGCUGGCUUCCCGUUCAAUCUCCUGGCCACAGUACCAUCGAGCAGUGUUAGGAUUCUUGGUGUAUUGAGGACUCAAACAGAGAAUGUCCAAACCGGAGUUGCCUACGAGAUUAUUCCUAGUGCGAUUAAUGUGAUGGGCUUCGUUCCAGUGGAAUGCAACUUUAGUGACAAUAAUUGAGAUUGCACUCGCAGGACAGCCACUAUGCCACUCCAUUUUGUAAAGGGUGUGCCCCAGCCAUCAGCCCCACUGCUGCACAAACAUAGUGCCAUUGUGUUCUUGGUGAACGAUAAACAUCAAUGACACUUCAAAAUAGGC
rnacentral:lncRNA from 1 species